rnacentral:rRNA from 1 species
GUGUCAGCCGCCGCGGUAAUACGGGGGGUGCGAGCGUUGUCCGGAAUCACUGGGCGUAAAGGGCGCGUAGGUGGUCUUAUAAGGGUGUGGUGAAAGCCCGGGGCUCAACCCCGGGUCGGCCGUGCCGACUGUAAGACUCGAGUGCUGUAGGGGCAGGCGGAAUUCCGGGUGUAGCGGUGGAAUGCGUAGAGAUCCGGAGGAAGACCGGUGGCGAAGGCGGCCUGCUGGGCAGUUACUGACACUGAGGCGCGACAGCGUGGGGAGCAAACAGGAUUAGAAACCCUCGUAGUCC